ACUGAGAAUUACUGGGGGUAAAGCGUGCGUAGGUGGUUCGUUAAGUCUGAUGUGAAAGCCCUGGGCUCAACCUGGGAAUGGCACUGGAUACUGGCGGGCUAGAGUGCGGUAGAGGAUGGCGGAAUUCCCGGUGUAGCAGUGAAGUGCGUAGAGAUCGGGAGGAACAUCCGUGGCGAAGGCGGCCAUCUGGACCAGCACUGACACUGAGGCACGAAAGCGUGGGGAGCAAACA
rnacentral:rRNA from 1 species